rnacentral:rRNA from 1 species
UACGUAGGUCCCGAGCGUUGUCCGGAUUUAUUGGGCGUAAAGCGAGCGCAGGUGGUUUAUUAAGUCUGGUGUAAAAGGCAAUGGCUCAACCAUUGUAUGCAUUGGAAACUGGUAGACUUGAGUGCAGGAGAGGAGAGUGGAACUCCAUGUGUAGCGGUGAAAUGCGUAGAUAUAUGGAGGAACACCGGUGGCGAAAGCGGCUCUCUGGCCUGUAACUGACACUGAGGCUCGAAAGCGUGGGGAGCAAACAGG